rnacentral:ncRNA from 2 species
AACUUAUCACGAGAGGUGGAGGGAAUGGCCCUUAGAAACCUCGGCAACCUACGCAUAUGCGCAAGGUGCCAAUUCCAACAGUGAAAACUGGAAGAUAAGAA